rnacentral:rRNA from 1 species
CCUACGGGAGGCAGCAGUGGGGAAUAUUGGACAAUGGGCGCAAGCCUGAUCCAGCCAUGCCGCGUGGGUGAAGAAGGCCUUCGGGUUGUAAAGCCCUUUUUCAAGACAGACGGUACCGGAAGAAUAAGCACCGGCUAACUUCGUGCCAGCAGCCGCGGUAAUACGAAGGGUGCAAGCGUUACUCGGAAUUACUGGGCGUAAAGCGUGCGUAGGUGGUGCGUUAAGUCUGUCGUGAAAUCCCCGGGCUCAACCUGGGAAUGGCGAUGGAUACUGGCGCGCUAGAGUGAGGUAGAGGAGAGUGGAAUUCCCGGUGUAGCAGUGAAAUGCGUAGAGAUCGGGAGGAACAUCAGUUGCGAAGGCGGCUCUCUGGACCAUACUGACACUGAGGCACGAAAGCGUGGGGAGCAAACAGGAUUAGAUACCCUUGUAGUC